GACGAACGCUGGCGGCGUGCCUAAUACAUGCAAGUCGAGCGGAGUAAAAGCGUGCUUGCACGGUUUUAUUUAGCGGCGAACGGGUGAGUAACACGUAGGUAACCUGGCCAUAAGACAGGGAUAACGCACGGAACGUGAGCUAAACCAGAUAGGCAUUUCCUACGCAUGAGGGAGAUGAGAAAGGACGGAGCAAUACUGCCGCUUAUGGAUGGACCUGCGUCGCAUUAGCUAGUUGGAGUGGUAAAGGCACACCAAGGCGACGAUGCGUAGCCGACCUGAGAGGGUGAGCGGCCACACUGGGACUGAGACACGGCCCAGACUCCUACGGGAGGCAGCAGUAGGGAAUCUUCCGCAAUGGACGAAAGUCUGACGGAGCAACGCCG
rnacentral:rRNA from 1 species